UGGAUUUCCAUUUACUGUUCCCCUUCUUCUUCUCUCUCUUCCCUCUCUCUACUUGCCGGGAAACCUCUUCCCCUCGCCGGCGAACAACUUUUCCGUUUACCGGUGAAAAGAGUCGACGAAAAAUUCUAAUGCACUCACUCUUCGUAUUUCGUUCGGUUUGAUUAUUGCUUUUACCUUUGGCGUAACUGAGUCACUUGGUUGGUGGAAUCGCUCUGAUCUCUGAGUUUGACUCGUUUUGUGGAGUUUCCGCCGCAGCCGGCGAACAACUUUUCCGUUUACCGGUGAAAAGAGUCGACGAAAAAUUCUAAUGCACUCACUCUUCGUAUUUCGUUCGGUUUGAUUAUUGCUUUUACCUUUGGCGUAACUGAGUCACUUGGUUGGUGGAAUCGCUCUGAUCUCUGAGUUUGACUCGUUUUGUGGAGUU
rnacentral:misc_RNA from 1 species